rnacentral:rRNA from 1 species
UUUACCUGUGUGACUGCGUACCUUUUGUAUAAUGGGUCAGCGACUUAUAUUCUGUAGCAAGGUUAACCGAAUAGGGGAGCCGGAGGGAAACCGAGUCUUAAUUGGGCGUUAAGUUGCAGGGUAUAGACCCGAAACCCGGUGAUCUAGCCAUGGGCAGGUUGAAGGUUGGGUAACACUAACUGGAGGACCGAACCGACUAAUGUUGAAAAAUUAGCGGAUGACCUGUGGCUGGGGGUGAAAGGCCAAUCAAACCGGGAGAUAGCUGGUUCUCCCCGAAAGCUAUUUAGGUAGCGCCUCGUGAAUUCAUCUCCGGGGGUAGAGCACUGUUUCGGCUAGGGGGCCAUCCCGGCUUACCAACCCGAUGCAAACUGCGAAUACCGGAGAAUGUUAUCACGGGAGACACACGGCGGGUGCUAACGUCCGUCGUGAAGAGGGAAACAACCCAGACCGCCAGCUAAGGUCCCAAAGUCAUGGUUAAGUGGGAAACGAUGUGGGAAGGCCCAGACAGCCAGGAUGUUGGCUUAGAAGCAGCCAUCAUUUAAAGAAAGCGUAAUAGCUCACUGGUCGAGUCGGCCUGCGCGGAAGAUGUAACGGGGCUAAACCAU